UUCAGCAGGGCUCUUCUGACAUGUUUAUGAUCCAUCAUGCUUUUCCUACACAAAGAUUUUUCCCCCUCUGUAUAGCAAAAUGUCCUGUGUGAAGUGGCCCUGAACUAUGCCUAGAAUUGCAACCUUAAUGUGCAACUAUGAAAACACUAACCUUCUUGACAGCACUGGCCCUCAUCAAAGAAAAGUAUACAGAAUAGAAUAGCUAACAUGAUGUCACCAAACAACGGAUGUCUUGCCCCCAUCUAAUUCAGUGGUGCACCUUACAUCGUUGUGUUUUGGCAGAGGUUGACUGUUUGCUGUGGUCUGUGUUUUCCAGCCCACUGAUGCUCAGUGAACUGUUUCUGCAAGACUGAAGCACUGAGCGCUUUCUAACGCUUGUUUUGCUAAGAUUGAUUGGGGUGAAGUGUAGUGAAAGGAACCUGAGCUGAUGAGGACUCCGUAGCAGGGAGGAUGCAAAGAACCUGUCUUCUUUCCCCUAUACAUGUAUGUCCUCUCCGUGGCACUUCUCCAUCAAAAGUUACUCAGAUGUUUGUCCAUCAGCCUCCGAAAAAAGGACCAGGUGAAAGUCAAGGCCUACAUUCCUUCUGAAGUAAAAUAUCAGGUCUGAAAAGGACUCAAAGGGCAUGGAACAAUGUCAUAUUAGCAGUCACUAAUUAAAACAGCAGCAAGUCCACAUGUUUUCUGCACUCAGGAAUUGGGGCAUUGCACUUUUGCAGCAUGGUCUGACAAUUUCAGUCCUUCUGGUGUCACUGUUUUAUUUUUAGAUUGCCAGAGAUUUGCUUAGGACAAUCAAUAUGAGGGAACCAACAUUCAGUUUUAGCAAAUAAAGAAGCAGGACAUUGGGUCAUCAUGGCAACCAAUGAGUAAGAACUCUAAAGUCAAAGAGGACAUUAGAGAACCAACUUGUUUUUCAAGGAGUUAUAGUGCUGGAGAAACUACCUUCAGUUGCUGUUGCUUUCAAUUGGCUCUUAGACACUGACUUUAGCAAGGGAAGAUUUCUCCCUCUUCUUCUUUUUCAUCUUCUGCAUGCUUGUGCUUCUUCACACAUAUGGUAAAUGAUUUAAAUAGUUUCAAAAACAAAAUAGUUGUUUUCCCUCCAAAGCACCUCCUUGUUGGAUACACAUCAGAGCAGUUAGCUAAAGUGAUAUUCAUCCCACAGCAACAAUGUUCAGAUUAGCCAUCAUCUUUUGGAAAUAUUGUGGUUAUGCCAGUUAGAUGCUAAAUGACCACAAUGUUCAUCAGUGAGCAGCUGGGAGACAUUCUGGAAAGACUAGAUGUACUUUCUGUUUUUGUGGUGAACAACUUAGAUUACAUUAAAUCUAUACCAUGUACAAAGAAAUGGAUUUGAGUAUGCAACACUACAAUUUAUUGUUAUACUAAAAGAUCCAUUACAAUAAACAAUGUAGGGACUUCUUAUAUAUAUUCUUAUAUAUUCAAAUGGAUGACAUUUACCCUCAGGCAGCCAUUUUGUUCUGAGGCAAGGGGAUAAAGGAAGCACUUUGCGACUGCCUAGAAAUCAACUACUUGACACAUUUUCCGAUAUACCCAGCCAGGCAUAAUAUGGAUCAAACAAAGAGGAGGCCCGUGUGACAUUUCUGCAGCAUGUCUCUAUGCUCCUGGGAUUUGAUGAUUCAGUGCAGGCUGCCUAGAAUUUUUGCAGAGCUUCAACCUUCCACAAGAUCUCCACUGCCUUUUAUCAGUCUGUCAGACACCACUGGAAUUUCUGACUGGAUGCAACAAGAAAAAGGGAGAAUGGAUAUUCCAAAGCUUAGUAUGCAGAACAAUGGAUCAAGGUGUAUGUGUAUAUAAAUAAAGCUAUAUUUUAAAUCAGA